rnacentral:tRNA from 1 species
GCCCGCGUGGUGAAAUUGGCAGACACGCCAGCUUGAGGGGCUGGAGUCGCACAAGCGACGUGCAGGUUCGAGGCCUGUCGCGGGCACCA